AAACAAUCUCUCCCUCCAGCCCCACUCGAGGGUAAUCGAUGUCUUCAAGUUCAUUCCUAACAGAUCUGAUAGCUCCCACAUAAGACUACAAAACAACAUCCGAGAACCUUAGUCGCAUUAACGGGUUAAGCCCACCGAAGUGCCUACACCGGCACUGAGGUCCUUGCACCUCCCACCAGGCGUACCACACCCCACACCGGGGUGCGCUGCAAAGUACGUCACUGUGCGAGUUGUCGUGGCUCUAUCUCUCCCCCUUGUGCGCACAACUAGAGAGGACACCGCCCUGAUCAAUCGAGAGAGCAAACAAGACUCGCUUCGCGUCACAGCGCCCCCCUUCGCUGUACAACUUCUCCAAAAUUGCUUGGUCUCUUGCUGUACAGCUUCUCAAAUUGACUUGGUCUCUUCUUUUGAGCUUAUCUAUAGGACAUCCUGCACUGGUUGCAUCACUCGUGUUGGCCAGACUUGUAAUAUCCCAAAGCAUCUCUGCGCUAUGUAUCAAUCGGAUCCUCUAGUUACUCCUGCGCUUGCUUGCGGUACCUCUGUUGCAACGGUGCUUCCCUUGUCAUUCUUAUCGCUAAUACUACUGGACCCUGUCGGACAGUAGAUCCUCCGUCUGCACACUCCCCUCCAAUUGGUAUAGGCCCUCCAGUCUUCUUUCUCACAACAUCUCUUUGUUUCCAUGAAACUUGAUGCGUCCUCCCUAGCGUCAAAAAACUACAUUCAUUGAAUCUUAGCAAUCCAAGAGAAAUCAAAAAUUUUCUGUAGCAUUAGGAAUAUGUAUGCCUUACCAUCAGUCAACGUCAACAGACCUCCGUCUGCUUACGGAACCGGACUGACCCCUGCCACACAUGUAGCCUGUGUUGUUCGUCAUCCAACACGUCCCUGCAUGGUGCAUAUGUCGAGAACACCUCUCUAUCUUGCAAAAGUGGUUACGUAAGCACUGCCUGAAAUCCAAUAUCCAAUCUAACUUUCCAUCAUCCGAUUCGGCUAAGAUAACAUCAUCUCAUCCUCAUCCAAAUCAUCACUAUUGUCGUGCUGUAUUGAAGAACCGAUCCCGUACUUUAUCCUUUGGACAAUCCCUCUUGAUAUCCCCUCCUGGUCGCAAUAAAAGCACCUACAGUGCGACCUCUCGAUUUGACUCCACAGUCCUUUUCCAGUACCUUUGUGAGACCUUUCCUGACCUCGGCCUCUUUCCAUACUUCCCUCUGAGACUAGGGCCUGUGACUCACUUGAAUCUGUUCGAACACACUCUCUCUCCGAGCAUCUCAUUGAACAGCGGGAUCCAUGACCAUACUCGUAGUCACUUUAUAUUCGGCGCUGAAUUGCUGAGAGAAACCACAAUGUCUCCCACUUCUUUGCAAGGAACUAAGAAGCAUAAGGCCUGUAUCUCAUCGCCAAACUGUAGGUCAACAGGGUCAACUGAUUGACCAAAAUCUGAAAAACUCGUUGUAUGUUCCGCAACUAUGUCUCUCUCUGAAAACUUCAAAUUCACAAGCCUCCUCAUACAUUAAUAAGGCUUUAUUCCGAGAUGUUUUCGCUGGUACUCUCCUCCAAACUGAUCACAAUCAUAAGCACAGUCUCCUGUGCUACAUGAUGGACCACCUCGUGUCCAAUGCAAUAUCUGAUUAGCCCAAUUGGUCUUUAUGUUCAUCUUCUUCCAUUCCCAUCUCGUCGCUAAAGGUUUUUUCCUUUAUCUCCAAAGGGUCAUGCAAAUCUUGCAAAAAUAGGAUGUGUCCUCCCAUCCUAGGUUCCAUAUGACGUUAAUUCGUUGCAUAAAAGACAAUCAUCGAUCCCAAAUAUACUCUGCCAUCUUACUUCUUCCAAAAUAGAAACAAAUAUCGAAAACCAACCCGCGGAUGAAUUAGGAAUGCUGAGAAAAAACCCAGGCAAUGGCUAGAUUGUCAAAAUCAGAAAAUUUUCGGGACCAAAACAAAUUGUCAAAAUCAGAAAGUUUUGCUGGCCAAAUCGACAAUUAAAAGUACUGGGCCCAAAUGACAAAAUUAGAAAACUCCUGGACCAAUUAAAAAUAUUCAAAACUUUAGGGACUAAACUAAAUUAAACAGAAACUCAUAGGAACCAAUCUGAAUUAAUAAAAACUCUAGCGACAAUCUGUAAUUACCCAAAAAAUCAGGGGCUAAAAGUAUAUUUAUCGGUCAAAGUCAACGUCAAACGGUCAACGAUCAGAGGCAACUGACUAGGCACGUGGCUAAGACUAAUCUCAACUCGCCGAGGUUUAGCGGCGGUGCUGAGGGCGCGUCCUGGGACUAGUUUUUUCGACGCGGUUUAGUGCUAGAGUUCCGUUAUCGACAAAAGGAACAAUUGGUGUAAUCAAAAAUUAAUUUUGAGCACUUCCACGGACACCAGACCGAAUUUAACCUGGGCUCCGGAAUCGCCUUGAACUAGGGGAAUCUGAUACCAAUUGUUGGGCUCAAAACUAAUUACCAUCACAACACACACAAAAGACAAUAAAGAUUUACGUGGUUUUUGGCAACGAUUGCCU
rnacentral:lncRNA from 1 species